rnacentral:rRNA from 1 species
GAGCUUGCUCUCUGGAUCAGUGGCGAACGGGUGAGUAACACGUGAGCAAUCUGCCCCUGACUCUGGGAUAAGCGUUGGAAACGACGUCUAAUACCGGAUACGAGUUGCGACCGCAUGGUCAGUAGCUGGAAAGAACUUCGGUCAGGGAUGAGCUCGCGGCCUAUCAGCUAGUUGGUGAGGUAAUGGCUCACCAAGGCGUCGACGGGUAGCCGGCCUGAGAGGGUGACCGGCCACACUGGGACUGAGACACGGCCCAGACUCCUACGGGAGGCAGCAGUGGGGAAUAUUGCACAAUGGGCGCAAGCCUGAUGCAGCAACGCCGCGUGAGGGACGACGGCCUUCGGGUUGUAAACCUCUUUUAGCAAGGAAGAAGCGAAAGUGACGGUACUUGCAGAAAAAGCGCCGGCUAACUACGUGCCAGCAGCCGCGGUAAUACGUAGGGCGCAAGCGUUAUCCGGAAUUAUUGGGCGUAAAGAGCUCGUAGGCGGUUUGUCGCGUCUGCUGUGAAAUCCCGAGGCUCAACCUCGGGUCUGCAGUGGGUACGGGCAGACUAGAGUGCGGUAGGGGAGAUUGGAAUUCCUGGUGUAGCGGUGGAAUGCGCAGAU